GCUUCUCGGCCUUAUGGCUAAGAUCAAGUGUAGUAUCUGUUCUUAUCAGUUUAAUAUCUGAUACGUCCUCUAUAUGAGGACUACAUAUUAAAUUGAUUUUUAGAACUGGGAGACGGGAAAGGAGCUUGCUCCGCCCGCUCCACGCAUCG
rnacentral:snRNA from 1 species